AAGCCUCUGACUUUCUAGUUUCUGCUUUAGCCCUCAAGUGCAGCUACCUUCAACAGGCUGUAAAUUCAAAGGCAGCUUACCGGACUAAAUUGCACCUUUAGUUGUCGGUGGACUCUGGUGGAAUUUGAGAUGAGAUCCACCAUCUUGAAUUGUGACCAACAGGGACCGUGGAGAGUUUUCCUUGUAACACUCCUCAGUGUGCUAUAUAUAAACAAGCCUGUGAGAGCGGUAUAUGAGCUUGAGGGUGGGACCCUGGCAUGGACUCCAGCUGUGUUGGUAGACUUCUUUUCCUCUGUGACAAAAUAUCCAAGCAAUCCAGUGUGAAAGAAGAAAGCUUUUUUGACUCAUGGCUUCAGAGGCUUCAGGCCAUACUCGGUCAGGUGGUUUCAUACCUCUGGGCCAGUGGUGAGGCAGGAUGCCAUGGUAGAAGGGACCCAUAGAGUUAUGCUGCUCACCCCCUGAUAGGCAGGAAGGAGCAGGGAGGUGGGGUGGGGUAGGUGAAGAAGAGACUGAUGAAUCCAUUAGUAAAGUUAAGGCCCUUGUGAACCAGUCACUUCUCAGUAACAGCAUCAGCUGUUAAUAUGACUUUAACAUUCUUCACACUCAAACUAUUAAAAAGAACGUAGUUCAUCUCUACCAUAAACUCAUAAUAAAUCCUCCUUCCAGAGAACCAACCCUUAGAGUGUUUCAUUUGUGCUACUCGUCAUUGUAUUGCAUCAUAUGUAGUUGAGCACUCGAGUGGGUGUGAAAUUUCAGAAUGAUCUAAUGAUGGGGAUUUGCCAGAGAGUGGUAACUAUGACAAUAAUAAUUGUAUGCAACUAUUUUAACAAGACACCCCUCCCCCUCCUUGAUGAAGACUCAUGGCCACCCAGCUAGCCUGUAGGUUUCUGCCUCUCUUGCAGCUAGUAGUUGAUCAUGGAAUAUAAUAGAGUGCUUGGGAAAAGAAGUCCUUAUCAUUCUUAAAAGAAAGUUACCUGGGCAGGGAAGAUGGUGCAGUUGGUAGAGUGUUGUGUAAGUACAAUUUUCUGAGUUUGAGACCUAGAACUUACUUUAAAAAGCUGGGUUUAUUAGCAAGUACUUGUAAUCCCAACACUGAGAAGGUGGAGACAGGAGAAUCCUUGGGCUUUCCUGAACAGCUAGC